rnacentral:rRNA from 1 species
UACGUAGGGUGCGAGCGUUAACCGGAAUUACUGGGCGUAAAGAGUGCGUAGGCGGUUUCUCAAGUCCGCUGUGAAAUCCCCGGGCUCAACCUGGGAAUGGCAGUGGAAACUAGGAGACUUGAAUCUGGCAGAGGGGGGGUGGAAUUCCACGUGUAGCAGUGAAAUGCGUAGAGAUGUGGGAGGAACACCGAUGGCGAAGGCAGCCCCCUGGGUCAAGAUUGACGCUCAUGCACGAAAGCGUGGGGAGCAAACAGG